AAACAGAUUUAGGUCCCCACAAGUAUAGUAAUGCUAGGCCACCCACACACACACACACACACACACACACACACACACACACACACAUUCAGCUCACACACUUUCCCUUCUCACAGCCUUUGAAUCCCCUGCAGCACUCAGAGAUCUUCAGAAGUGAACAUGUAAACGGACGUUAGUAGAAACUGUUGUUUUCAUCUCUGCUUCUAGAUCGCCUGCAGUAGGCUUUCACCGUUUCCAAUCAGUGUAAAAAAAAAAAGGAGGCGCACUUUUCUAGAGAAUCUAAGAGACAUUGAUCUCCUGUAGAAGCUGUUUGUAACGUAGACAGGUCAUUCACUGAAGUCCUGUAGAAGCUGUUUGUAACGUAGACAGGUCAUUCACUGAAGUCCUGUAGAAGCUGUUUGUAACGUAGACAGGUCAUUCACUAAAGUCCUAAACCGCCAUGGAUGAAAAGCAUUCAGCACUUUUAUUCAGAUGUUAUUAUCGACGGCAGAUUCAUCCUCGCUGGUUGUUCUUACUGGGAUUCCCUACUAUAAGUAAUAUGUGUAUUUAAAUGUAUAUUGUGUGCAAUAACUGAUGUGUAAGCUGUUCUGACUGUUAACGACAUGUACUACUACCGAUAUGGGGAGUCCUCUUCUUCGUUUCUUCAAUGAUAAAAUAAGGAUUGUGUUUCAUUUGGCUCUCGCACUGUUAAACUCAGACUGUUUGUGACGAACCGGAGUGACACAAACAAACAAACAAACAAACACACAGAGACAGGAAGCAGCUCAGCGGUUACAUCUGUUUGUCUUUGAGAUGUGAUGAGCUUACAAGGUCUAAAAGUGUCACUCCAGGUUCUCAGCUUUGCACUCUUAUCUAAAAAUAGCCAAGGAGAAGUCGAGGGAAGACGGAGUCACUAAAAGCCAUUUUGUUGUCUCUUUGUAAACAGCAACAAUAACAUGUAUACACGCUCUGUAGUGUUAGUGUUCAUGGCUGUCAUGUCCUUUUGUGUAAAUAUCAGAUAUGUAUGUCUGCAAGCCAAGGUCAAAUAAGGAAAUAUGAAGCAACAGCGCCCCCAAGAGGACACUGGGUAGAACUUAUCAGGGUAGGCCCACUUUACUGCAAUAACACUAUAGACUACAGCACAUGUUAACGCAAUAAUUAGCCAAAUAAUGAAUGAUUUCAUGUAUUUUAAUAUGUUAUCAAAGUGCAUCAUAGAGUACUCGUUUAGCAGAUAUAAUCUCUUUUUCUACACAGCCAAGAUUUACAGUACAUUCAUGUAUUUGUGUGAACUCGGAGUGAUAACACACACACACACACACACACACACACGAUCAGUCAACACUGAUUACUGUCUAUUCCAAAGAUGAGGUGUUUGUUCACUUUAAUAACAAAUGCAAAACUAAUGUACUCUUUUUUUUGUUUUCUAUAUUAGUGCAACGUUUUUUUCACAAUCUUACAAAAAACCAGCAAGAGAGACGUAGGAAAUGUCUGUUGGGGAGGGGGGUGACAACAAGGGCAUAAAGGGACGUUUCGGACAACAGGAUAAUAAAAAACACCAUUUGUAAUAUUUACUGGCCAAUCAGAGUGCUGUAUUUUGUGCCUGCUGUAUCUUCUUCUAUGCUACCUGUCAAUCAAAUCAAUAAACAAGAUAUUAAACCAUUAA